rnacentral:rRNA from 1 species
UACGUAGGGUGCAAGCGUUGUCCGGAAUUAUUGGGCGUAAAGAGCUCGUAGGCGGUUUGUCGCGUCUGCUGUGAAAACUCGGGGCUUAACCCCGGGCCUGCAGUGGGUACGGGCAGACUAGAGUGCGGUAGGGGAGACUGGAAUUCCUGGUGUAGCGGUGAAAUGCGCAGAUAUCAGGAGGAACACCGGUGGCGAAGGCGGCAUCCUGGACCAAUUCUGACGCUGAGGAGCGAAAGCCAGGGGAGCAAACGGG